rnacentral:tRNA from 13 species
GCCCUCGUGGCCUAACGGAUAAGGCAUCGGUCUCCUAAACCGAGUUGCGGGCGAAUCCCGCCGAGUAUU